GAUGAACGCUAGCGGCAGGCUUAAUACAUGCAAGUCGAGGGGCAUCAAGGUACACGAAAGUGUAUUGUUGGCGACCGGCGGACGGGUGAGUAAUAGGUAGGUAACCUACCUCAUACUGAGGCAUAGCUGGGAGAAAUUCCAGGUAAUUCCUCAUGAGGUUAUAUGACACAUGUGAUAUAAUCAAAGGUAUCGCAAGGUACUGGUAUGAGAUGGGCUUACUGACCAUUAGCUAGUUGGUGAGAUAAGAGCUCACCAAGGCGAAGAUGGUUAGGGGUUUUGAGAGAGAGAUCCCCCACAUUGGAACUGAGAUACGGUCCAGACUCCUACGGGAGGCAGCAGUAGGGAAUAUUGGGCAAUGGGCGGAAGCCUGACCCAGCCAUGCCGCGUGAAGGAAGACGGCCUUAUGGGGUUGUAAACUUCUUUACUAUGCGACUAACUAGAUUUACGAGAUAAUUCUAUAGAAUGUAGCAUAGCAAAAGCACCGGCUAA
rnacentral:rRNA from 1 species